UCUCCCUAAUUCAGUUUGGUUUGGUGCUAUGAAUUUUGGCUUACUCCAUUUUUUGGUUUUGCACCCCGAACCAAGCUGACCAAUGUCACCCCCAGUAAAAAUGCUAGUCAAUUUUGAAUAGUUUUUUAUUCCCCAAUCUUUUUGGUAUGGUUUUUCCUUUUGAUUCAAUUCAACGGCACCGUUAAGCAGAAACAAUAAUGCAUAUAAGCACCAACUAUCCAAGUGAAUGUGGCCAUCUUAGGCAUUCAAAGAGCAUUUAGAGCUUAUACUUCCCAUCAUACAUAAGCCAAAUUAAAUUAUAUUUUCAUUGGCCCGCAUAUGAACUUAUCAUCUGUAUCUGUGAUCUAGUGGGAAGUCUAGCAAGCAGACAUAAGGAAAGAAAUCAUCGGCAUGCCUAUAACAACUAAGAUGGUGAUCCUAGUAAAUUGCAAUUGCCAAAACAAAUUUUCAGAACAAAUAUGGCACUCGAGACAAUAAGAACAGAAAUCCUUAAUUACGAAACAGAAUCACAAAUAAAUAAUUGAAUCCAUACCUGAAAGCGUGAGAAUACAAG
rnacentral:misc_RNA from 1 species